rnacentral:rRNA from 1 species
UACGUAGGGUGCGAGCGUUGUCCGGAAUUAUUGGGCGUAAAGAGCUUGUAGGUGGUUUGUCGCGUCUGCUGUGAAAAUCCCGAGGCUCAACCUCGGACUUGCAGUGGGUACGGGCAGACUAGAGUGUGGUAGGGGAGACUGGGAAUUCCUGGUGUAGCGGUGGAAUGCGCAGAGUAUCAGGAGGAACACCGAUGGCGAAGGCAGGUCUCUGGGCAUGUCCUGACGGCUGAGGAGCGAAAGUGUGGGGAGCAAACAGG